rnacentral:rRNA from 1 species
GACGAACGCUGGCGGCGUGCCUAACACAUGCAAGUCGAACGAGAAUCCGCUAAACGCGGCUUCGGCCAAGGGAAGCGGAGGACAGUGGCGAACGGGUGAGUAACGCGUGAGCAACCUGCCUUUCAGAGGGGGACAACAGUUGGAAACGACUGCUAAUACCGCAUAAUGUGCCGUGGGGGCAUCCUCGUGGUACCAAAGAUUUAUCGCUGAAAGAUGGGCUCGCGUCUGAUUAGCUAGUUGGAGGGGUAACGGCCCACCAAGGCAACGAUCAGUAGCCGGGUUGAGAGACUGAACGGCCACAUUGGGACUGAGAUACGGCCCAG